GAUGAACGCUAGCGGCAGGCUUAACACAUGCAAGUCGAGGGGUAUAGUAGCAAUACUAGAGACCGGCGCACGGGUGCGUAACGCGUAUGCAACCUACCUUUUACAGAGGGAUAGCCCCAGAGAAAUUUGGAUUAAUACCUCAUAGUGUUAUUAGAUGGCAUCAUUUGAUAACUAAAGUUCCAACGGUAAAAGGUAGGGCAUGCGUCCUAUUAGCUAGAUGGUAAGGUAACGGCUUACCAUGGCUACGAUAGGUAGGGGUCCUGAGAGGGAGAUCCCCCACACUGGUACUGAGACACGGACCAGACUCCUACGGGAGGCAGCAGUGAGGAAUAUUGGAC
rnacentral:rRNA from 1 species